rnacentral:rRNA from 1 species
UCGAUGAAGAACGCAGCGAAAUGCGAUAAGUAAUGUGAAUUGCAGAAUUCAGUGAAUCAUGCAUUAUUCCAGACAAUAAUUACAGGGGGAGUAUUCUGGCGGGCAUGCCUGUUCGAGCGUC